rnacentral:lncRNA from 1 species
ACACCCAAGAAUGAUCAAUAAAAAUAAAAUAAAUAACAUUAAAAAAAAAGAAUUGUAGAAAUUAAGAAAAAUCAACAGGAUGGAGAAGAAGCCAGGUAGGAGAAAAGCCAAGAGAUUACAGUAAUGUGGAAGCCACGUGAAGAAAAUAUUUCAGGGAGUAGAGAAUGACUAUGUCUAAUUCUGCAGGUUCCCUGCUCAGAUGGAGAGUUAAACGUAAUAGUAAGGCCAGGUACAGUGGCAUAAACCUGUAGUCUCAGCUACUUGGGAGGAUCCCUUGAGCCCAGGAGUUCAAGACCAGCCUGGCAAGACAUAGCAAGAUCCUAGCUCUUUAAAAAAAAAUAGUAAUUCCCCUUCCUCAAAAUUAUAUUAAUAAGGCUACUUCAUCUGGACAUUCAUCAGUCUCAAGGUAUGGUUCAUCUGGAGACAGAAUCAUUCCUGCACUUGGUACUUUUGGAGUCUGUUUAUUCACCUCACAAUUUUAAGUACUUUAUAUUUAACAAAAUACAAAAACUGGGUGCUUUCAUAAAUGUUUUCUCAUCUAAUUCUUGGAACAGCUUAGUGGAGUAUUUAAUAUUAUCCCCCAUUUUACAGAUGCAGACCUCUGUUGAAUGACUGCCAGACGUAAGGGUUCUGCUUUGAGAAACUGAUAGAAUCCAAUUUAUGUUCUGUAGAUUAUGCUGUUUCCAUCUCACUUCAAUAAAUACUUAUCAAGCA